rnacentral:rRNA from 1 species
UCAGACGAUGUGUCAUGCAUAUCAAUAAGCGGAGGAAAAGAAACUAACAAGGAUUCCCCUAGUAACGGCGAGUGAAGCGGGAAGAGCUCAAAUUUGAAAUCUUAAAGGGUUUCCCUUUACGAAUUGUAGUUUAAAGAAGUGUUUUCUGUUGAGGUUUUGGUAAAAGUUCUUUGGAAUAGGACAUCAUAGAGGGUGAGAAUCCCGUAUUUGACCUUUACUUUCAACUUUGUGAUACACUUUCAAAGAGUCGGAUUGUUUGGGAAUGCAGUCCAAAAUGGGUGGUAAAUUUCAUCUAAAGCUAAAUAUUGGCGAGAGACCGAUAGCGAACAAGUACCGUGAGGGAAAGAUGAAAAGAACUUUGAAAAGAGAGCUAAACAGUACGUGAAAUUGUCAAAAGGGAAGCGUUUGACACCAGUGUUGUUUUUCUGAAAAUCAAUUAAAGAACUGUUUAUGCUAAGUUGUUUAGACUUUAUCAGCUAUCUGUUUAGGUUAUGAGCUUUUCUUAAUGCACUUUUCAGUUAACAAGUCAACAUCAAUUUCUUUUGCUGUAGAAAAGCUUGAGGAAGGUGGCUUGAGAUUCGUCUUAAGUGUUUAUAGCCUCUUGCCUAUGCAGUCGGAGAGAUUGAGGUCUGCAGCGUAGAUCCUUCGGGGCUAAAUGCAUUUGUGCUAAGUUAUAGCAUUUAUAGACAACUUGUUGACUAUGAUUUGUCUUGUAGCUUACUCGCUUAUGUUAUUUUACCUACGCUUAGGAUGUUGAAUCUGUGCGAGACUAC